rnacentral:misc_RNA from 1 species
CACACACACGCAAUCGUGGCAAACCCUUCUUUCAGAGAACCGAAUGAUUGUCCCCCUUGAAACUUUUGUUGGUGAUCGACUGUGUUCGUUGUUGGGGCCUAAACCCCACGGCGAACGAGUUCCACCAACAAGAGGACCAUAAUAACAUUAUGGUUGCGCAAUGCAUCGACCCCCUUCAAUAUGACUGAGUAUAGAAUCUCUCGAUCGGGUUGGGUCGCGGGGCUUGCCCCCCCGACCCGACCCAUCGACCGAGUUGUUGCAAACAA